rfam:Capsicum annuum cultivar Zunla-1 chromosome 7, whole genome shotgun sequence
UAAUUGUGAUGUGGACAGUAUUAAAUAAAGCCUUGAAGAAUUCCAAAGCAUGAUAUAGGUUUUCAUCAGGCUUUUGUUUGAAGCUCACUAUCUCACUAUCUCACUA